rfam:Apaloderma vittatum contig63486, whole genome shotgun sequence.
GUGCCGGUUAGCUCAGUCAGUGGAGCGUAGCGCUAACAACGCUAAGGUCACGGGUUCGAUUCCGGUUCGGUCCC